UUUGUAUCUGUGGCUGCACUUGAAGACUCGGCCUUGCUAGCAUCAGAAGGCAAGGCUUUGCUUGAGAGUGGAUGGUGGAGUGACUACAGCAACCUCACCUCACAUCGUUGCAACUGGACUGGCAUAGUCUGUGAUCGAGCUGGAAGCAUCACUGAGAUUUCCCCACCUCCAGAGCUCCUCAAGGUGGGAAAUAAGUUUGGAAAGAUGAACUUUUCUUGCUUGUCAAAACCUUGUCCGUCUCCACCUGGCCAACCAUGAGCUCAGUGGGAGCAUCCCGCCUCAAAUUUCUGUCCUUCCUCAACUCAGAUACCUCAACCUGUCCUCAAACAAUAUCAGUGGUUCGAUUCCUUCAACUUUGAGCCUUUUAUCCAAUUUGAUUGUUCUAGAUCUUUCCUGCAACCAAAUCACCGGUUUGAUUCCUUUUUCGUUAGGCAAUUUAACAAGCUUGACAAGGCUAAACCUUUCUCACAACCAAAUCAACGGAUCCAUCCCUUCAUCUUUGAAGUAUUGUAAUAAUUUGGCCUCCCUAGAUUUGAGCUUGAAUAAUUUAAGUGAAGAGAUACCCUCCGAACUAUAUGGUUUGGCCUCUUUAAAAUAUGUGAAUUUUAGUUACAAUAAUCUCUCAGGCCCUGUUCCCUUGCCUUUGCAACCGCCCUUUAAUUUUGAUUUCACAUGUGAUUUACUUCUUCAUAGGCAAAUUACCAACGAUUCUGCAACUUUUAAAGCUACUGCAUUUGAUGGCAACAAAGAUUUACACCCUGAUUUCUCAUAUUGUCCAUCUAUUUACUCCCCACAAACCUACUUGUUACCUUCAAAAGACAACAUAAUUCUUUCCAACAAGAUACUUCUUCCUAUCACCACCAUUUCACUUUGUCUCUUGUGUUUCAGAUGUUGUUAUCUGUCUCGAUGCAAGGCUACCCAACCUGAGGCAACAUCAUCAAAGAAUGGAGACUUGUUUUCCAUAUGCAAUUAUGAUGGGACGAUUGCAUACGAAGACAUCAUUGUAGCGACCGAGAACUUUGACCUCAGAUAUUGUAUCGGAACCGGUGGUUAUGGGAGCGUCUACCGAGCACAACUUCCAAGUGGGAAAUUAGUUGCCUUGAAGAAACUUCAUCGUCGAGAGGUAGAGGAGCCAGCUUUUGACAAGAGUUUCAAAAAUGAGGUGGAAGUCCUCACACAAAUACGCCACAGGAGCAUCGUAAAGCUUUAUGGAUUCUGUUUGCACCAGCGCUGCAUGUUUCUUGUUUACGAGUACAUGGAAAAGGGAAGCUUGUUUUGUGCCUUGAGAAAUGAUGUCGGAGCUCUGGAAUUGAAUUGGAUGAAAAGAGCACUCAUCAUCAAAGACAUUGCUCACGCAUUAUCUUACUUACAUCAUGAUUGCAACCCGCCAAUUGUUCAUCGAGACAUAUCAAGCAGCAAUGUUCUGUUGAAUUUAGAAUCCAAGUCUUUUGUUGCUGAUUUUGGUGUGGCUAGACUUCUCGAUCCUGAUUCGUCCAACCAUACUGUACUUGUUGGUACCUAUGGAUACAUUGCCCCAGGUAAAAAUAUUUCUUCUUAACAUGCAUAUUUAACACUCAUGCACUGCAAAACUAAAGCAAACUCUCUUUUAAAUAUAUAUAUUAAUUUCGUUUUGCAUAUGGACAGAGUUGGCUUAUACUAUGGUGGUGACAGAGAAAUGUGAUGUGUACAACUUCGGAGUUGUGGCCCUUGAAACUUUGAUGGGAAGGCAUCCGGGAGAUAUCCUAUCAUCAUUUGCUUAGGCUAUUACACUGAAAGAAGUGUUAGAUCCUCGUUCGUCACCUCCAACAAAUAAGAUUGUCAUACAGAAUAUAUGUACCAUUGCAAGUCUCAUAUUUUCUUGCUUACAUUCAAAUCCCAAAUAUCGACCUUCAAUGAAAUUCGUGUCUCAAGAAUUUCUAUCUCCCAAGAAAUUAUUGGAAGGUAUUGAGAUUUCUUUGUUGGAGCUGGAAAAUCUUGGCUUGCACACAAAUGUAGGUGAGAUCACAGUUCCUCGCUGAAAAAGUCGACUUUGAUCUCGCAUGGAACAUCAACGAGAGCCUCCAAGAGCAUGCCUUUAUACGAUUUCUUAAAUUUGGAUGAACUGUUUUUUCUUUUCUUUUGUUUUAGCACACUACAUGUCUUUGUAAUUUUAAUAAUGCACACUUUUCUUUUGCAUGAUAGUAUCAAUAUACAUGAGCAUCGUAUUAAGUUUAUCUCUCUGUACGUCUAGGUUAAAUUGAAAUCAUCACUCAUCUUAUAAUUAGGCAAAUCCACACUUGAAAUAUGCAGAAGAUAUUUGUUAACUCUAUUAAUUUGUCCCUGCAAGCUCUUGUAUAAUAGAUGCCUGAAAGCAAUGAUUGGAUCUACUCUCUACAGUCUGUUCUGACUCCUGUCACUAUCUGAGCAACACGUUUUGCUCUUCUUUUUUUUUUGCUGAAUGAUGCACAGACGGAAUUUUCAAUCAUCUUCAUGAUAUCUUUAAAUACGAAAAAGCUUGGGGUAUGUGCAACUGUCCUGAUGCUCUUAGACAAGCCAGGAAAAAAAUUAUUAGGAGCAUCAUAUUUUUCCUUGGACGUUCGUUCAUAGAUCGUAUAUGCUAAAUGUUUUACGUAGUCUAAUUAUAACAAAAGAUUACAUGACAGUUCAUAUUCUCCUGCAUGAAAGCUCUAUUAUACAUACCCAUUAUCUUGGUGACAAUUGACAAGUCGCCGGUGCAAUUCUGCAAUUAUUUUACAAUGCAAGAAUAAUAUAUUUAUUUAGGAUUUUAUUAAUUAUCUCAUGGCUGUGUAUAUUCAAUAAUUUUCUUUAAUGAUUCCAGCCCCGCAUCAGUUUCUUGUUCGAGGCUUUUCGGGCCUUCAAUUGAACCUAAACAAAAACAAACUAUUCUAACAUGUACACGAAACAAAUCCCAAGCAGCUAUAGGCUUAAGCCUUUUUAUACGAGCAAGACGAAUCAGCACGAUUUUCAAAUUCUUGCAAGAAUUACCAGAACCCACAAACGUGGCAACUCAAGGACCUCAUCAUCCAAAACCAGAAGGCAAGUACUCACCUAGAAGACAAGAUUGUAGGGUUGUACAGGUCUACUUCUGCAAUUACUUGUCAAGUCCUCCAACUAUUGCCUAAUUCUUAAUCAAGUCCUCAAUCCAAAUUGGAUAUCCAUCACACAUUAUCCAAUUCACCCGUCACCAUAAAAAAAAUAAAAAAUUGAAAUAACUAGUUUGUUUAAGAUGGAUGGUUCUAUGGUUCUGAUUUACAAAUCUUGAGAUCAAACUUAGAAUGCAAUGAAAGUGUUUGGUUUAGAAUAAAUAAAUCAUCUCUUUUUAGAUUAAAAGUUACUUCUAACACGAUAAUAAUAAAUAGUUAAUUAUAGUUUUAUGAUUUUAAAGAAAAACAUUUAAAAUCAAAAGUCAGUUUAAAAAAGAUUACGAGUAAUUCAUUCUAAAUAUUUACAGUAAACGGAGCCAGAAUUUCAAGAGCCUUUAAUUAUUAAAAUUUACAUCCUCACUUGAUGUAACCAUAUUAUUCGAUAGUUUUACCCGCAUUUAACUAGUGUUUUGCAUAUGUUAUUUCUAUAAAAUACCUUGAUAUUCUUUGUUUAUGUUUUGAAGGCACUUUUGGAUGAAAAAUACAAAAAAGAGUAAAUUGGAAGUAAUUGACAGAUUUGACGUUCAGUCGAUGUUUUGUGCAGAGCGUGAGUUCUAGAGGUCGAAACGAAGUGAUUCCAAUGGCAUUAAAAAGCUAACAUCCAUACCUUUUGGAAAUGUAAUGCAAGAAAAAUAAAAAGAGAAAGAUCAUGGAAAUCACAUCCUUCAAAGUCAAAUCUCGCAGUCUGCCAAUGUUGACCUUUGCCCAUUCAAAAUUCAAUAUCUGGAGCUUCAGAAGUCCAAUUGAUGCAAACUCAAUUUUGGAUUCCUUACUCAAAGAUCUAUAAACGCUCCAAAUUUCAGCCAAAAACGAUGUCAUAUGAGGGAGAUAUGAUUUUUCAAAGAUGACAGCUGAAUUCUGCCAGCAAGCAGGUUGCGUGAAGAAACGAAUCCAAAUUUCAUCCAGAAGCAUCCAAACCGACCAGCAAUUUAGCUCCUCUAGUAAAUAUUCUAGAAGGUCAAGGAAGGCAGCCACCAACCUCAAGGCAGCCAGCCAGCCACCAACCUCAAGCAGCGCAGCCAGCCAGCCGCCAGCGCGCCUUCACACUACCACCAUCUAUUGAUGUUCACACUUGAACUUUGAUUUUCUUACUUACAAUUUGUGUAUAAAUAGAGGGUGAGUAGAAGGAGGUAGAAGCAAAGCAAGAAGGGAGGAAACACAAACUCUCCUCUCUACAAAUCAGAAAUUAUGUAUUCUUUCAUCUUUAGGAGUAGUUGUUCAAUAGAUAUGCAAGGCUAAGCUCGUUUUCUUGGUUGCAAGGACACAACAAACCUUCGGAUUUCAAGAACCGUGAGAUUUAUUCUUCCUUUUAUUUUCAGUUUAUGUUAUGAAUGAAUAUGUUUGUUUUCCUAUGCAUAUUUCCUAUGAUUGUUUAUCUUAAUUGCUAGAGCGGACUCUAAGUUAUUAUUGUGAACAAUCUAUUGCUAAGUUUGAUAUCAAAACCGGAGUUGUGGUAUAUAAACUUGUGAAGCAACUAAGCUUGAUAAUUGUAGCGGAACUACGUUAUUAAACUUAGGGAGAACAUUCGAUCAUAGCAACACAAAUUGACAACUUGGUUGUUAAGAUUAAUGAAUUUAUCUGGAUCUUAAGGCUGCCAUUGGAUUAAAUCAUUAGUGCGGACACUGUGAUUGUUUGUUUGGUUAGGGCUAGUUAUACGAUCGGAUCCGUUAAUUAACCAAUAUUAAGAAAAGAUAAAAUUCAUAAUAUAAACUGGAGUUUCGUUUCAAGGAUCGGUUCUAAUUUCCGUUGGUGGAUGUGUGCUUGCAACCAAGGUUUGUUUUCUUGAUAUAUUUCAGUUUCAAUUGAUUUUGUUUGCUAGUUUAAUUUCUGCCAUAGUUUAAAAUCAUUUCAAAUCAAUCCCCCCCAAUUACAUAACGUACAACAUAAAAAUCUGACUUGAAACUUCCUCGUGGGAUCGACCCCUUGCUUGCUCUAUACUAUCUUGUGUGUUUUAAGCUAGGGUAAUUAAUUUGUGCGACCGCGACAUCGCAACAUCACUUAAAAUCCAAACAAAUUUAGAAACGCGAGAAAGUUGUUCAGAUUAGGCUGAAAAAAGAAAAAAGAAACCAACGAUUUUUCAAUCUUCCCUCUUAUUGCUUAAUCAAGCAGAGAUGGUGGUUGCUUAGAUUUUCUCCUUCAAUUAUAGUUUAUCGUUCAGUUUCAACCAUAAACAGGCAAGACUCCCACGAAUCCAGGCUGUUUUCAGACACCAAUAUUAAGUGGGACCCAAGGUUCAGCUUCUAAACUCCGACAGCACAGAACUGACCAUAGUUAAAACCCUGUAAGGGAAAAUAGUUUUCACUCUCCUUCUGUCGUCAACUGAAAGUUAAAAAAAUAACUGUAAUAAAAAACCAUGACGACUAUCUUGUUUUGGUCAACCUUUUCUACCUUUGCUGAUCAUUUUCACUCUCCUUUCUUGAUUGCUUCUUCUUGUUGGUUUCUCUUCUAUUUUACCACUAUUUAAUUACAAAAUAUUUAUUAUAAUAUUAAAAAAAAAAAACCAAAUACAGCACCCUUUUUCUCCCUUCCCCUACUUCUCCUUCCUCUCGGUUUCCUACUCAUAUUAGUUUCCCAUUUCGAAUAAGGGAAAUAAGCCCUAAUAAUCGAAGUUGAAUCGGCCUCAUGGAUGGUUCAAUUCUCCUGGACCUACUUGUUGAAUUGCCAAACAAGAAGUAGGGAAGAGGGUUUUUGGAAUCUCUGUAAAUUGGAGACCUUUUGAUAGCUCAAGGAGGAUAUAGGUAUGGCUGUUGUAAUGGGAUUUUGCAUUCAAUGUUUUUGAAAUGUAAGGAGUUUCUUUCUCUUGCUGUGAUCUUUGCUGUUCCUAAUUUGUCACAGAGCAGUAAGAAGAAAAGGGUAUUUGAGUUUGAGUUUAAGUUUGAUUUGUGGUGUUAAUGGGGGAAUUCGGUUAAUUUGAUUAUAUCAUUGAUUAAAAGUGUUAGUGAUUCUGUUGGGCAUCGUUAAUAUUUAAUAUUUCAAAGAUGUUUUGCCAAUCCCUGAUGCAUUUAUGAAGCUUUGUUGCCCAUCAGUACUACUGUACUUCUUGAUGUCCUCUCUGUUUCGACUUGUCUGUUCUUUUUUUUUUUUUGUUUUAAUGUUUGCUGCAAGUGUUAUCCUCUAGAUUAGAUAAUUUGAGCAAAUUCGGGGACUUAGAAUUGGUGAUUUAUCGCACAAUUAUCCACAAUUUUCGCUGAAAUGGAAGGGAAAGGCGUGCUAUUACUUUGCGCAACUCGUCAGUGCCUGCCUGCUUGUGCGAUUCUUCAUCUCCACAUUUUCUUUCAUUGCUAUAGUUGAACUUGUUAUCUGCUAGACUGGAUAAUUGAGCUUGCGAAAUGGCAAUUUUGAGGUUUAGAUUGCCAAUUCGGUAUUGUCACUGGAUUAGAAGGGAAACGUUACUUUUGUAUGCUUGCUUGCUCUCUUUUAGUGUGAUUAAUCUCUUUUUGUAUGUUUGCUUACUGGAUUUUUUUGGUUUAUUGUUCAGUGCGUGGAAUAUUUUGUUUGAAUUUGAUUAAUUCCAUUAACUCCUGAAUGAAUUAAUAUAUGUUAUGGUUCCCGUCAUAAUUGAUUUACAUUUGUGAUUCUCAAGGCUGGCAACCAGGAAUUCAAGAGGGUGCUGCUUCUUGGGAUGAAGAUUGGGAUAAGUUUGAAGAUGAUGGUAUGCUCUCUACCUUCCCUACAUUGAACUAUUUAUCACACCUCAUGCUUCCUUUUGCCUUUCCAAUCUCCAAUAAAUGCCAUGAAUUGAGUGGAUUUUUCUCAAGAAUAUUGCACAAAUAUUAGUUCGAAUUUAUCUAUGCAACAUAUCAUUUCCACUUUCAGGGUUUUCCAAUGAGCUCACUGUUGAUGUGAAAAGCGCUCCUGGUCAAAAGGAGAGAGCACCUGCGGAUGUUAGUUUAACCCCUGAUUCAUUGUCAAAUGGAGAUGGGAGGUCUGGAAUUUUUACUGGAGACCAUGUGCUUGAGAGUGAAUCUGCAUAUAUCCACAGUGAAGAUGAAAUUGCAAGAAGCCCUCAAGACAGUCCAGCUGGAAGGGCUGCUUCAGAAAGUCCAUCUCAAGACUUUGCUGAUGUUUUUGCCAAGAAUACUGAAGCAGAUAUAGAUACCCACAGGUACAGCAAUCAAUUUGUUUCCAUGUCUUUUGCCUACUUUAGUGCUGAUUGUUGGCCUACUUCAUGAUGAUAAUGAACUUUAUAUUUUUGGCAAUAGAAGUUUUGAUGAUUCAACUUGGGGUGCCUUUGACACAAAUGAUGAUGUGGACUCAGUCUGGGGAUUUAACCCUGCAGGCAACAAGGUGAGUCCAGUAUUCCUGAAGCACUCUUUUAUUCUACUGCAAUUGAGCAUGGAUACAUGUUGGAUAUUCAAAUUGUAGCUUGCUGAAGCACAUUCUAUGCAGUUAUCACUUUAUAGAUCACUUCAUUAAGGAAUUGCACCUGAUAUAUUGAUUUAACGCUCACAUCAUGAUUGCUGGAAUGCUUUUACAAAUGCAGGCAUAUUCUUGUUAUUACCAUCAUAUUUGCACAUACCUUGGGCCAUGCAUCUAUCCUUAGGUUUCCAUGUUUUGUGCAUAGGCACUCUGGUCGAAGUGAACCUAUUGGCAAGUCUUGUGAAAUAUACCUGUGUGCAGUUCUCAGGUUUUAUCAUCCAAUGAGAUAUCCAGAUGCAUAUCCAUUGUCGAUACAGUGAGUUGAACUUUGUGAGAGAUGCCAUGUGCUAUUAGAGAGCUCAAACAAUGCUAAAGAUACAAAUUAUUUUGAUUAAAAUUAUUUUAUGGAUUGGUGCUGCUGCUAUGAUGGGUGUUGCAGUGAUCGAUUAAAUAAUAAGAGUCUGAGAUAUCUCUUCACAUUGCCCUCAAUUAUUUGGUUGUGUCAUCUAGCAGGACUCUUCUGAGAACGAGAGAGAUUUCUUUGGAUCUGAUGAUUUUGGUCUAAAGCCAAUCAGAACGGAAUCCACAUCAACAACGAAUACUUUCCAGAAAAAGAGUAUAUUUUUUGAAGAAUCUGUUGCAGGUUCCCCAAUGUCAAGAUUUGGCAACUCUCCAAGGUUCAGCGAAGCAGGGGACCAUUUUGACAAUUACUCGAGAUUUGAUUCCUUCAGCAUGAAUGAAGGAGGCUUUUCACCACGAGAAAAGCUUACAAGGUUCGACUCCAUAAACAGCUCCAAAGAUUUUGGCCACAGCCGUGCUUUCACUUCAUUUGAUGAUGGAGAUCCAUUUGGCUCCAGUGCCCCCUUUAAGGUUUCAUCUGAAGAUCAAACUCCCAAAAAGAGUUCUGGCAAUUGGAGUUCUUUCUAGCAGCAAUCUGGUUUUCCCCUCCCUCCCUCUCUCUCCAUUUUUUUUCACGGUUGCCAAUUUUUGUAUGUGCUGUAUAGAUUGUGUUGAAAUGCUGCAUUGUUGUAAAGUUAUUCAUCAUGGCCUUGCUUCAUUUUUAUUUUGCUGAGGUAAAAAACUUAUGUUUGGGGGGCAUCCAGAUCAAAGAUGGAAUGCUUGUUCUUUUGAGUGGCAAAUUCUUGAGACCAAUAAAACUGAGUAGUUUGAGAAAACAAUGACUCUUGGCAUUCCAUCAACUCACAUUGCUCAAAUGCAUUUUAUUUGAAGCUGCCUGCUUCACUAUGACUGUUGGCAUUCCCUUUCAUCAUUUUUUAAUUUUUGGUGCUACGAGUUGUUUAACAAUGUAAGUCAGUCAGUAAACACCGGUUUGGAGGCGCGUGACCUUCCUUAAGGGUUUUGACCACGCGCUUCCUUGGAUAUUUCUAUUAUACAGAUGAGCUCGGCUGCUAGGCUAUGUCUGAAUAAGAUUAUGGGCUUGUUAGCUGGGCCUUUUCCAUAUUGGCAAGUUGUGGACUCGUAUUGGGUUUUGCGUGUCGGAUUUGAUGAAUCAUUUUUUUCUUUUCUUUUCUUGAGAAGUAUUUGGUGAAUCUAUUUUAUCUAUAAAAUAGUAAGUAAAUCGCUAUUCCUGGAAUAAUAAAGGAAUGCUGAAGUUGAUUCGGCUUUUUCCGGGGAAAAGAAAAAAGAUCAAUCCUUCUGUAUUUUGGAAUGCUAGAUAUAGGUAUGGUGCUCGUAUUGUUUUCUUCACUUGAGUUUACUGCCCCACAUAAUUCCUGCUUCAUUUUAUUUUCCCCGAAGAAGUUUAUAUAUAUAUGGGCAUGGUGCUCAUCAAAUGCAAUAGAUUUUGGAAAUUUAAACAAAAGUAUUUUCUGACAUUACGAGAGGGCUACGGUGCUUGUGCUGGAGUUUACUGCCCCACCUAUCAAAUUGCAGUGCUCAUAUGCAAAGAAAAGUCACUAAAAAAGAGCAUCAUCAAUAUUCUAAGCCCUUCAAUAAUUAUCGAGUUAAUGGACCCCAUACCGACACUGACAUUAAUUGUGUUUUCUUGUAGAAUCAAACUAUUGCUGCUCCCAACAAAAUAAAUUUUAUUUUUUAAUAUUAAAUUGAUUAUCAAUUAGAUUUUAUUAUUUAUUUUAAUUUAUUUUCUAUAAAAUUAUUUUGAUUUUAUAAUUUGAAUUAUGUAUUUUGCAGGUUAACACUUGUAGAUUGAGAUUAUUUUAUUGUGUCAUGUUUUUAUAUUGAAUUUUUCUUUUUCAAUUUCAACAUUUAAUAAUAAUUUUUUUUGAAAAUUGAGUCUCAUAAUUUGUUUUGAUUUACUUUCUAUGGAUUUAUCAAGUUAACUCGAGUUGACUCAAUUUACUUUUUUGUUUACUUUCUAUAAGGUUAUCCUAAUUUUUUGACCCGGAUCACGGGUUUGACAGUUUAACUUAGGUCACUUUUUUUUUAAAUUUUAUCCUUUAAUAUUUGAUUGAUUUGGAAUCAGGCUUCAUAUUUUUUUUGGUCUUGCUUUCUCUAAAGUUAUCCUGAUUUCAUUAUUAGGGUUACAGUUUGGCAAGUUAACCUGAGUUGACUCUGGUUUUUUUUGUUUUUAUUUUUUUUAAUUUCAUCAUUAAAAAUUAAGACAUCUUAUCUUGAGUCACAUGUCAACUUAGGUUUGUUUUUAAUUUUAUAUUUUAAUAUUUAAUUAAUUUGAGAUUAAGCUUUUUAUUUAUUUUUGUUUUCUAUGAGGUUAUUUUAAUCUUAUUACAUAGUUCAAGAGUUUGACUGGUUAACCUGAGUUGACUUAAUUUUUUUAAUUGAUUUUUUUUUUCAAUUUCAUACUUCAACAUUGGAUUAAUUGAGAAUUAAACUUCAUAAUUUGUUUUGAUUUGAUUUAUAAGGAGUUAUCUUAGUCAUAUGACUUAGGUUGUAGCUUUAACAGGUAAACCCGGGUUAACUCGAGUUGUUGUUUUUUUUUUUUUUUAAUUUCAUAUUUUAUGAUUGGUUUAAUUGAGAAAUGAGUUUCAUAUUUGGUUUUGAUUUGCUUUCUAUGUGGUUAUUUUGGUCUUAUGUUUUGAGUCGUGAAUUUGACAGGUUUACUCGGGUAGAUCUAAUAUGUUUUCGUCUCAAUAUUUUUUUUUUUUAAAAACAUGCAAUCUUGAAUUUCUUUAAUCAAACUAUAUUUUUAACGAUUUUCCAAUUGACCUGGUCAUAUAUCAAGUUAACCCCUACACGUUUUAAUUUUUUUCAACUAGAAAACACGUUAAUAACACUUAGAUAUUUUUUUGACGUUAAAAAAAUUAAUCCGACCUGCAACAUAGUGCGGACAAUAAUCUAGUCUACUCUAUUUUUGAAAGUAAAGGCCUAAAGGGAUAUUCGAGAUUAUGGUAGUGAUUGCUUUUCAAAGUGCAUUCACUCAGAAAUGUAUUAAAAUAAUAUAUAUAUAUAUAUUUUAAAAAUAUUAUUUUUGAUAUUAACACAUCAAACUAAUCUGAAAAUGCUAAAAAAAUUAUUAAUUUGAAGUAAAGAAAAAAAUAAUUUUUUUUUAAUUUUUUCAAAACAUUUUUGAAACCAAAAAAACAAACAAACAUUAAAAGAUGUUAAAAUUCGGAUAGACUUAGAAUGAAAUCCCCAAACUAAUGGCAAGAGGAUCAGAAUACAUGUAUUUGGAUUAUUUUCUACUCGAUCUCUUCCCAUGAAAGUCAGGGAGAAUAGAUUAACUGACUGGCCUUCCUAAUUUCCAAAUGAUACUAUUGGUGAACCUUUUUCUCCUUUGUGGAAAAAGAAAAGGACUUGCUAGACAAUCUGAAUCUAUUGUCUUAUGCAUUGGAAUUGAUUGUUGGCGUUCCCGCUCUUCAUUUUUUUUUUAAUUUUUUGUGCUACGAGUUGCUUAUUAAGUUUAGGAAUGUGGUUGUGGUUGGUUUUUAAAGUAUUGUUUAUUUGAAAAUAUAUUAAAUUAUUUUUUUUAUUUUUUAAAAAUUAUUUUUGACAUUAAUACAUCAAAAUAAUUUAAAAUUACCAAAAAAAUAUUAAUUUGAAAAAAAAAACUUUCAAUUUUUUUUCAAAAAUAUUAUUGAAAUGCAAAAAACAAACUUGUCAUAAGCCACACAAUAAACACUGGUCUUGGAGGCGCGUGACCUUCUUUAAGGGUUUUGAGUCUUUUGACCACACGAUUCCUUGGAUAUUUCUAUCAUCCAAAUGAGCUCGUUAGCUAGGCCUUUUCCAAAUCGGCAAGUUGGGGACUCUUAUUGGGUUUUGCAUGUUGGAUUUGGCUCCAAUUUGAUGUUUUUUUUUUCUCGAGAAGUAUUUGGUGAAUCUAUUUUAUUUACAAAUUAGUUAGGUAGCCCGUGCUAUGCCACGGAUUCACCUUUUAUUUUUAUAAAAAAGUUGGGUUCUACGUAUUGCAGGAUCCAAGUCUAUUUUGGGUCUUACACAACCAAUGAUCAAAGGAUAUUUUGGGUACUGCAACAUGCGGGAUCUAAGGAUAGUUGGGUCUUGGCGCAGUCCCAGUGCCACUUGUACGCUUGGUCUGGCAACACAAAGGCAGGUAGCCCAAGAGCAACGUGUUCCCAUGUGGUUUUUCUUCAAUAGUAACAACAGUUUUUUAAAAUUUAUUAAUGAUAAUGAUGAUAAUAAUAAUAAUAGUAUAAAAAUAAUAAUAAUUAUAACACAAAAGAUAACAUUUUUAAUAUUAAUAGAUUUGAUUAUAGUAAAAAUAAUAAUAUUCAUAACACAAAUAAUAGUAUUUUUAAUUCCAAGAAUAUUUAGAACACAAAUAAUAAUAUUUUUUAUAUUAAUACUUAGAAUUGUUGAAUAUUUUUAAUAAUAAUACGCCGCGGGCUCACUUUUUAUUUUUAUAAACAAUAUCAUAAAAAUUUAUAAUAUAAAUAGUAAUAUGUUUUCAAUAAUAAUAAUAAUAAUAAUAUUUUAUUUCAAAUUUAUUAAUUAUUUUAUUAAUAAUACUAAUUAUAAUAAAAAUUAUAAUAUUUACAAUACAAAUAAUUAUAUUUAGAUUCCUAGGACCUAGGAACCUUGGGUCUUGAUGAAUGACCGAAUAGAAUUGGGUCCUUAUGCAAGACCAAUUGAGCGUGGGUCCUAGCCAUAGUUUUAAAACCCGAACCGGUCCGGCGGGUUGACCCGGGACCCGGCCGACCCGGGCAUGAGACCGGUCCGGGUGGAGGCCAAAACCCGCUUGGGAAUUGACCUGGCCAGACCCGGUCGACCCGGAACCCGGUUGACCCGGCAAGACCCGACCGCAAACCCGUUGACUUUUAUUUUUUUUUUACUAAAACGACGUCGUUUUAAUUUUUUUAAAAAAAAAUUAAAAAUUUUUUUUUGACCCGGCGACCCGGUCGAGACCCGGUCAAAACCCGGAACCCGGGCCUUGGACCGGGCCGACCACCGGGCCGAGUCUAAAAACUAUGGUCCUAGCACCAAAUCCAUUUCCCUUGGGCGGGUGUUGGCUUGGCUCACACCACCGCAAGCCAGCCUAAGCACCACAUGUUCGCUUGGUCAACCUAACACACAGGCAUCAUCCCAAGUGCCAUGUUUGCAUUGGGGUUUGCCCAGCACACAGGUAGACAACCCAAGCACUCAAGGCUGGGCAGACCGAGCGCUAGGUGGCUACAGCCUGAGGGGGUAGCCAGUGGACGUUGCAUGCCCAGUGCCCAAGGCAGCCAAGCGCUAGGUGUUCGCAGCCUCAGUAGGCGCGCCUCCAGCCUGACGCUUGCGGCUUGCUGGUCGCAGCCUCACACAUGGCCCUACCAAACAAUGCUAUCCAUAGUGAAAGCACUUAUAAUCUAUAGUACUUCGUGCUAUAAUAUGUAAUAGUGUAAUCCAUAAUGAAUUCACUCAUAGUGCACAAUAGUUUGUACUAUAGUAAAAUACUGAUCAAUUUUAGUAAGAGGAAAGCUAUUCCUGGAAUAAUGAAGGAAUGCUGAAGUUGAUUCGGCCUUUUCCGGGGAAAAUAAAAAAAGAUCAUUCCUUCUGUAUUUGGGAAUGCUAGAUAUAGGUGUGGUGCUCGUAUUGUUUUCUUCACUUGAGUUUACUGGCCCACAUAAUUCCUGCUUCUUUAUUUUAUUUUCCCCGAAGAAGUUUAUAUAUAUGGGCAUGGUGCUCAUUAAAUGCAAUAGAUUUUGGAAAUUUAAACAAAAGUAUUUUCCCCGUAGUUUACCUGCUACGGUGCUUGUGCUGGAGUUUACUGCCCCACCUAUCAAAUUGCAGUGGUCAUAUGCAAAGAAAAGUCACUAAAAAGAGCAUCAUCAAUAUUCCAAGAAGGAUGGUACUUCCAUAAUCAUCGAGUUAAUGGACAUGACCACUGCAAUUUGAUAGGUGGGGCAGUAAACUCCAGCACAAGCACCGUAGCCCUCUGGUAAUGUCAGAAAAUACUUUUGUUUAAAUUUCCAAAAUCUAUUGCAUUUGAUGAGCACCAUGCCGAGUCAUCAAGUGCAGCCACAGAUACAAAAAUACAGGACAAGAAAAAUGAGAUGCUUAAAAUUGCAAGAAGUUUUGGCUCAUAAUCAAUGGACGCCAUGUUUGUGUCUAAUGCUUCCCUUCAAUGAUAAUGCUAAAUUUAUUAAUGAAGUGCAUGGCAUCAAUUCCCAUGGACUCGUUCCAAGUCAAGAUCGUCUGGUCUUUCACGUGUACCUUUCUCGCACGGGACAAGUUAAUCCAAUUUUUUUUUUCUUAUGAUGUGCAAUUUGAAAGCUUUACGUCCAUGGCUUUUUCAUGGACUCAUUCCACGUCUUGUAUUCCCUUUGUUUCAUAAAUAGAGUAGAUAAUCCGGCUGCUUCCAAGAGCAUGCAAUGGGCAAACUUUCCUUGAACCAGAUUGUCAGUAUCGGGAGAGCAACCAGACAUGGUUUAAUGUCCUGGAAAAAUAUCAGCCACAUUAGCAUGCCUAUGGUAAUAAGAAGAAGGCCCAUUUCUGUUUCUACAAGAAAACACAAUUAAUGUCAGUGUUGGUAUGUGGUCCAUUAACUCGAUGAUUAUGGAAGGACCAUCCUUCUUGGAAUAUUGAUGAUGCUCUUUUUUAGUGACUUUUCUUUGCAAUUUGAUAGGUGGGGCAGUAAACUCCAGCACAAGCAUCGUAGCCAAUUUCUUCGAAUUCCCAAUUCCCAAUUCCCAAUUUAUUUCCCACAAAUUCUUCGAAUUCCCAAUUUCUGAAGGGAUCGAACCUGUAAUCUUGAAAGACUGAUGUAGUUGUGGUGUAGAGAAAGUCCAAAACCGGUGUUUAUUGUCCAGCUUACACUGUUAAGCAAUUCAUAGCACCAAAAAUUAAGAACUGAAGAAAUGCAAUGCCAACUGUCAUGGUGAAGCAGCGUCGAAUAAAAUAGAACUUGAACAGUGUGAGUUGAUGGGUGAAAAUGAGAGCAUGAAAUUUCACCACCAUUGUUUUCUAAGUUUGUUUUUAUUGGUCUCAACAAUCUGUCACUCAAAAGAACAGGCAUUCUAUUUUUUAUCACGAACAGUGGCAUUUUAAAACUAAGAAGGCCAGGCAGUCAAUCCAUCCUUCCAUGGAAAGAGACCGUGUGGAAAAUAAUUGCUCGCGUCUUGGAGGCCAUGUUUGCGUCUAGUGCUUGCCUGCGAAAUUUAUGAAUGAAUUAAGUGCAUGGCUUUUUCAUGGACUCAUUCCACGUCUUGUAGGCCCUUUGUUUCAUAAAUAGAGUAGACUAGUAACAUGUCCCGCGCGAUGCCGCGGGUCAAUUAUUUUAUAUAUUUAAAAAAAAAAAACUAAAAUCUGAAAGUGUUAGGAUUUUUUAUAAAAUUAUACUCAAAAGUCUUAGGUUUGGUUGCAACGCCUGAACCAAGAGUAAUAUCUAUAAUAUUAAUAAUAACAUUAAACUUGCAUGACCUAAAUUUAAGUGGGUUUGGCUACAAUACCAGACCUAAUAGCAUUGGACGUGGGUCUAGUUGCAAGGGCGUGUCAUAAAAGUGUGAUAAUUAAAUAGAUUAAUUAAAAAAAAAAGGACAAAGAAAAAAAAACCAACAGGAAGAAAAAAACUAAUGAAGAAAAAAAAAAAAGCAUUAACUGGGUUAACCCUUCAAAUCACGUUAACCCGUCAAACCUUAGAUUCGCGUUGUAAAAGUUUGAUAACUAAAUAGGAAAAAACAAUUAAUGGGUUAACCCAGAAUUAACCUGACUAACUCGUCAAAUCAGGUUAACCCUUUAAACCCGGAAUCCGUGUCAUGAAAGUUUAAUAACUAAAUAGAAAAAAAAAAUUUAACAUUAACAAUUUAAAUUAAACAAAAAAAUUAAAAAAAAAACUAAAGGCAUAAGCUUUUUCACCGUGGACUGCACUGUGCAAUUCAUAGUCAAAGGCAUAAAAAAAAAAAAAACUAAAAGCAUCAGCCGAGAACUACAUAGAAAAAAAAUUUAAUAUUAAUAAACUAAAUUAAUUAAAAAGAAGGAAACCUCUAAGUAAAAAAAAAACAAACUAAAUAGAAAGAAAUUUAACAUUAAAAAAUUAAACUAAACGAAAAAAAUAAUUAAAAAGAUAAAAAAAGCAAAAAAAAUAAUUUCAAGUUAACUCGUCAAAUCAGGUUAACCCGUUAAAUCCGGGAUCCGUGUCAUGAAUAUUUGAUAACUAAAAAAAAAGAAAGAACGUUAACAAACUGAAUUAAACAAAAAAAAUUAAUUAAAAAGAAAAAAAAAAGAAAAUUUGUUUUGGAUUAACUUGUCCCGCGCGAGAAAGGUACACGUUAAAGACCAGACGAUCUUGACUUGGAACGAGUCCAUGGGAUUUGGGAAUGCCAUGCACUUCAUUAAUAAAUUUAGCAUUAUCAUUGAAGGGAAGCAUUAGACACAAACAUGGCGUCCAUUGUUUAUGAGCCAAAACUUCUUGCAAUUUUAAGCAUCUCAUUUUUCUUGUCCUGUAUUUUUGUAUCUAGUUCUGGUCCUCUGGCUGCACUUUAUGACUCGGCCUUGCUAGCAUCAGAAGGCAAGGCUUUGCUUGAGAGUGGAUGGUGGAGUCACUACAGCAACCUCACCUCACAUCGUUGCAACUGGACUGGCAUAGUCUGUGAUCGGGCUGGAAGAAUCACUGAGAUUUCCCCACCUCCAGAGUUCCACAAGGUGGGAAAUAAGUUUGGAAAGAUGAACUUUUCUUGCUUCUCAAACCUUGCCCGUCUCCACCUGGCCAACCAUGAGCUCAGUGGGAGCAUCCCGCCUCAAAUUUCCAUCCUUCCACAACUCAGAUACCUCAACCUGUCCUCAAAUUAUCUAGCAGGUGAGUUACCGUCUUCACUUGGAAAUCUCAGCCGAUUGGUUGAGCUUGAUUUUUCUUCCAAUUAUCUCAACUAUUCCAUCCCUCCAGAACUAGGCAAUCUUAAAAAUCUUGUUACUUUGAGCUUGUCUCAUAACAGAUUCAGUGGCCCAAUCCCUUCGGCACUUUGUCAUUUGGACAAUCUAACGCAUUUAUUUAUGGAUCGCAAUAUUCUCGAAGGUGCCCUCCCUAGAGAAAUAGGGAACAUGAGAAAUCUAGAGAGUUUGGAUGUGAGUGACAAUGCACUUUAUGGUCCAAUCCCUCGAACAUUGGGUAGGUUAGCCAAGUUGAGGUCUUUGAUCAUUAGUGAUGUCAGAGUCAGUGGAUCCAUUCCUUUGGAAAUAGGAAAUUUGACCAACCUUGAAGAUUUAGAUCUUUCCUCUAAUAUCAUCCUAGGUGGUUCGAUUCCUUCAACUGUAGGUUUUUUGUCUAAUUUGAUUUUUCUAAAUCUUUUCAAUAACCAAAUCACAGGUUCGAUUCCUUUUUCGUUAGGCAAUUUAACAAACUUGACAAUACUAGACCUCUCUUACAACCAAAUCAACGGAUCCAUCCCUUUGGAAAUACAAAACUUGACAAAUUUGAAAGAAUUAAAUUUGAGGUUAAACAAUAUCUGUGGUUCAAUUCCUUCAACUUUAGGCUUUUUAUCCAAUUUGUCUUUUCUAGAUCUUUCCUAUAACCAAAUCACUGGUUUGAUUCCUUCAACUUUGGGUCUUUUAUCCAAUUUGAUUAUUCUAGAUUUUUCCUACAACCAAAUCACAGGUUCGAUUCCUUUUUCGUUAGGCAAUUUAACAAACUUGACAAUACUAGACCUCUCUUACAACCAAAUCAACGGAUCCAUCCCUUUAGAAAUACAAAACUUGACAAAUUUGAAAGAAUUAAAUUUGAGGUUAAACAAUAUCUGUGGUUCAAUUCCUUCAACUUUAGGCUUUUUAUCCAAUUUGUCUUUUCUAGAUCUUUCCUAUAACCAAAUCACUGGUUUGAUUCCUUCAACUUUGGGUCUUUUAUCCAAUUUGAUUAUUCUAGAUUUUUCCUACAACCAAAUCACAGGUUCGAUUCCUUUUUCGUUAGGCAAUUUAACAAACUUGACAAUACUAGACCUCUCUUACAACCAAAUCAACGGAUCCAUCCCUUUAGAAAUACAAAACUUGACAAAUUUGAAAGAAUUAAAUUUGAGGUUAAACAAUAUCUGUGGUUCAAUUCCUUCAACUUUAGGCUUUUUAUCCAAUUUGUCUUUUCUAGAUCUUUCCUAUAACCAAAUCACUGGUUUGAUUCCUUCAACUUUGGGUCUUUUAUCCAAUUUGAUUAUUCUAUAUCUUUCCUCUAACCAAAUCACUGGUUUGAUUCCUUUUUCAUUAGGCAAUUUAACAAGCUUGAGAAAUUUAGACCUCCAUGACAACCAAAUCAACGGAUCCAUCCCUUUAGAAAUACAAGACUUAACAAAUUUGAAAGAAUUAAAUUUGAGUUCAAACAAUAUCUGUGGUUCGAUUCCUUUAACUUUAGGCUUUUUAUCCAAUUUGUCUUUUCUAGAUCUUUCCUAUAACCAAAUCACUGGUUUGAUUCCUUCAACUUUGGGUCUUUUAUCCAAUUUGAUUAUUCUAGAUCUUUCCUCUAACCAAAUCACUGGUUUGAUUCCUUUUUGGUUAGGCAAUUUAACAAACUUGACAAGCCUAGACCUCUCUCACAACCAAAUCAACAGAUCCAUCCCUUCAUCUUUGAAGUAUUGUAAUAAUUUGGCCUCCCUAGAUUUGAGCUUCAAUAAUUUAAGUGGAGAGAUACCCUCCGAACUAUAUGACUUGGGCUCUUUAAAUUAUGUGAAUUUUAGUUACAAUAAUCUCUCAGGCCGUGUUCCCUUGAAUUUGCCAACACCCUUUGAUUUUUAUUUCUCAUGUGAUUUACUUCUUCUUGGGGAAAUUACCAACAAUUCUGCAACUUUUAAAGCUACUGCAUUUGAGGGCAACAAAUAUUUACACCCUAAUUUCUCACGUUGUCCAUCUAUUUACUCCCCACCUUCACAAACCUACUUGUUACCUUCAAAAGACAACAAAAUAAUUCAUUCCAUCAAGAUCUUUCUUCCUAUCACCAUCAUUUUACUUUGUCUCUUGUGUCUUGGACGUUGUUAUUAUCUGUCUCGAUGCAAGGCUACCCAACCUGAGCCAACAACAUUAAAGAAUGGAGACUUGUUUUCCGUAUGGAAUUAUGAUGGGACGAUUGCAUACGAAGACAUCAUUACAGCGACCGAGAACUUUGACCUCAGAUAUUGUAUCGGAACCGGUGGUUAUGGGAGCGUCUACCGAGCACAACUUCCAGGUGGGAAAUUAGUUGCCUUGAAGAAACUUCAUCAUCGAGAGGCAGAGGAGCCGGCUUUUGACAAGAGUUUCAAAAAUGAGGUGGAAGUGCUCACACAAAUACGUCAUAGGAGCAUUGUAAAGCUUUAUGGAUUCUGUUUGCACCAGCGCUGCAUGUUUCUUGUUUACGAGUACAUGGAAAAGGGAAGCUUGUUUUGUGCCUUGAGAAAUGAUGUCGGAGCUGUGGAAUUGAAAUGGAUGAAAAGAGCACACAUCAUCAAAGACAUUGCUCACGCAUUAUCUUACUUGCAUCAUGAUUGCAACCCGCCAAUUGUUCAUCGAGACAUAUCAAGCAGCAAUGUCCUGUUGAAUUCAGAAUCCAAGUCUUUUGUUGCUGAUUUUGGCGUGGCUAGACUUCUCGAUCCUGAUUCGUCCAACCAUACUGUACUUGCUGGUACCUAUGGAUACAUUGCCCCAGGUAAAAAUAUUUCUUCUUAACAUCCAUAUUUACCACUCAUGCACUUCAAAACUAAAGCAAACUCUCUUUUAAAUAUAUAUAUAUAUAUAUAUAUAUUAAUUUUGUUUUGAAUAUGGACAGAGUUGGCUUAUACUAUGGCGGUGACAGAGAAAUGUGAUGUGUACAGCUUUGGAGUUGUGGCGCUUGAAACUUUGAUGGGAAGGCAUCCGGGAGAUAUCCUAUCAUCAUCUGCUCAGGCUAUUACACUGAAAGAAGUGUUAGAUCCUCGUUUGCCACCUCCAACAAAUGAGAUUGUCGUACAAAAUAUAUGUACCAUUGCAAGUCUUAUAUUUUCUUGCUUACAUUCAAAUCCAAAAAAUCGACCUUCGAUGAAAUUUGUGUCUCAAGAAUUUCUAUCUCCCAAGAGAUUAUUGGGAGGUCUCGAGAUUUCUUUGUUGGAGCUUCGAAAUCUUGGCUGGCACACAAAUGUAGGUGAGAUCAUAGUUCCUCGCUGAAAAAGUCAACUUCGAGCUCACAUGGAACUUCAACGAGAGCGCCUCCAAGAGUAUGUGUUUAUAGAAUUUCUUAAUUUUGGAUGAACUUUUUUUCUUUUGUUUUGUUUUAGCACACUACACGACUUUGUAAUAUUUUAGUGUGACAUUGUAUGUAAUUCUAAUAAUGCACACUUUUCUUGUGCAUGAUAACUAGUAUCAAUAUAUAUGAGCAUCAUAUUAAGUCUACCUCUCUAUACGUCGAGGUUAAAUUGAAAUCAUCACUCAUCUUAUAAUUAGGCAAAUCCACACUUGAAAUAUGCAGAAGAUAUUUGUUAACUACAUUAAUUUGUCCCUGCAAGCUCUUGUAUAAUAGAUGCCUGAAAGUAGUGAUUGGAUCUACUCUCUACAGUCUGUUCUGACUCCUAUAACUAUCUGAGCAACAUGUUUUGUUUCCCCCCCCCUGAAUGAUGCACCUUAUUAUUUAUCAUUUGGCACAGAUUGAAUUUUCAAUCAUCUUCCACUCCAAAUGAAGAUUUACGUCUCAUGUUAGGGACCAAGCUUUGACCUCAAGGAUAGUGAGUCGAGAUGUCCACCCUCCAUAUACUAGAUAGACAUGCCCCAACAUCGGCCACCAUGUCUAUCUAGUAAAAUGUACAAGAUCCCUAGCUAUAGAUUAUUUUCAAUCUCAGAGACAUUUACUAACAGAGAAAAUAUAUCAUAGUAUCCGAUUAUGAGUGUCGCACGUGUGCAGCGUCGCGGCGAAAAUAACAUAGUUGUUUGUUUUCAUUUUCUUAAUCUACAAUGUAAAUCUAUCUAUAUCUAUGGGGAUACAAGAAAAUACUGUCUUUUAUUGGUAGAAAAUGGAAUGGGAGUCGCCACCUAGUAUUUUGGUCACUAGGAACCCUAACUGGUCUCAGAGAUCGGGUACGGGGACUGGUUGCGUAAAGAAAAGGUAUUAGCACCCCAAAUACGCCCUAUCUAAGGUAAGCUGCAUUGUUUUAUUGUCUGAUAAAAUCUAAGGUCUUUUCGUGUUUUCCUAGUUGCUUGUAUGGUUUAAGAAAAGUCCUCCCCUGUAAGGAGAUCCUUAUCUUAAAGGGUAAUCCUAACCGUUCUAACUUCUAUACCAAAACUUUAUUAAUAGUAUUUAGGAAUACGUUUUACAUAUAAAUUCGUAAUCCCAAAUACUACAAGAAAACAAAAAGAUUUUUUUAGAAUUUUUGAAAUAUUGGCCUAAUUCUCAUGGCUUGAAUAAACUGGUUAUUAAAGCCAAAAUGCAUGCUAAUACAUAUAUUGUUUUGAGAAUUUUCUUUGUUGUGUGAAAAUAUGAUGUUAUAAUAUUUAUAUAUAUAUAUUGGAGAGACUAGGCCGUAUUUUAAAACAAAAACAAUUUUUUUUGAAUUUUUUUUUUAUGCUUUGACGAAAAUUGGGUAUUUUAAUAAUGAGUUUGUAUCCUUACGGUAUAAAAAUACUAACCAACAUUAAUCCACCUUAAUAAAAAAUAUGCAGGAAAAAUCAACAAUAUUUUUAAAGAACUUUUGGAAUUUUUUGAAAGUAAAAACAUUUUUUAUUUUGAAAAUCUUUGAUGUUUUGACGAAAACCGGGUAUUUUAAUACUGGAUUUAUAUCUUUACGGUAUAAAAAUACAAACCAACAUUAAGCCAUUUUGACAAAAAUAUGCAGGAAAAUCAAUAAUAUUUUUCAAGAUUUUUUAGAAUAUAUUUUUUAAAAUAUACAUACAUAUAUAAUAUAAUAUAAUAUAUAAUAGUAUAUAAUAUAAUAUAUUAUGUGGGCCGGCCCGGCCCAACCGAAUGGGCCAGACUCAGCCCAGCAGGAAUGGGGCCGAUUUCGGCCCAGAAUGGAUUGGGCCGAUCUCGGCCCAAUAAAAAACUCAUAUCUAGGCCGGACUUGGCCCAUAUAGCUGGGAUGGGCCAGACCUGGUCUAGCCCAUCAAACACAGGGAUGGGCCAGACCCAGUCUGGCCCAAAAAAAUGCUGGGCCAGGAUCCGCCUGGCCCAGCUACGCAUCGUCAGGGGGGAAAUUAUUUCCCCCCUCCUCCUGCAUGCAGAACGUUCGUUCUGCAUGCAGGGAAACAAAUUAAAAUGCCAACAGCUAGGGGGGAGAAGAAGUUACCUGGCGUGGAAGAGGCGGUCGCGGGUGGUGCUGCGGUGGAGGCCGGUGGUCGUCGUGGCUCACGGACGGCGGCUCCCAGCGGCGGUGCUGCUGCUCAAACGGCGAAAAAAAGAUUUUCUUCCUCUUCCCCUCUUCUUUUUUUCGUUUUCGGUAUUUCUUUCUUUUCCUUCCUUUCUCUUUGUUUUCUGUUUUCUUUUCUUUUGUUUUCGAUUUAUUCUUUCCUCUUUUCUCUCUCUCUUCGGUCUCCUCUCUCUCUCCUCCCUUCGGUCCGUUUUUUUUCCUUUUCUUUUUGUUCUCUCUUUAUAGGUGAGAAAAGGCGUUGGGACCGUUAUUAGUGCGCCUGGGGAGCGGGUUUCGCGGCGGCUGGUCGGCCGCCACCCGCGACAGCAAGGCACCGUUCCUUUACUUUCGGCCGGUGGUCGGCCAAUGACUUCGGUCGGUGGUCCCACGGUGUGGGGCUUCGGGCUGUUCGGUGGAGAUGCAGAGGAGAGAGGGGUGGGAAGAUUUUCAAAAACAAAGUUUUCUUCCUUCUGUUGCAGGUUCGGGGGGAGGGGAAGAAGAAAGGGGAACAGUGUCGUUCAAAACGGCACCGUUCAGUCUUUUUUUUUUUUUUUUUUAUGUAUGAAACAACGUCGUUUUGGAGAAAACGCGCCGUUUCAUUUAAAAAUGGCCCUAGAACGCGCCAAAUUUCCAACUUAGGCCUCAAUCAUCUUUGUUCAUUUCAAUUGCGUCCCUGCCAAUUUCGAUCCCCGCCCCCAUAGUUGGCCGCGAUUUUCACUUUGGUCCUUGGCCUCUGAUUUAUGCAAUUAAGCCCUCAAUUGAUCAAUAAGCUUCCAAUUUCUUCAAUUAGGCCCCUGAAUCAAUUCAAAACAGCCCCCCCUCUAUUUACCCGCUUUUUCCAAAUUGGUCUCUGGUUUCGAAUUUUCACAAUUAAACCCCUAAUUGGCCAUUAAACUUCAAUAUUUAUGCAAUUAAGCCCCUGAUUUGACCCAAUAAAUUCCUAAAAAAUAUAUUUUGGCCCCAGAACUUAAAUUUCUUCUAAUUAAAGCCCAAAUUGACUUAAAAAUCGAUUUUUCUUGCAAUCAAAUCCUCUAUAAAUUCAAAUAAAAAUCCAAUUAAGUCCAUAAACAUCCAAAUUUGAACUUUUCUCCUCAAACUUCCAAUUUUCUUAUCCAAUAGGGCUCUCAUCAUUCAAGAAUAUAUUGUCAAAAAUCCAUCUUUGUAUUUUUAAUCUCCUUGACCGAUUUUUCUGACCAUUUGCUGAGCGCUUCUGCCUCCUGAUAUUUUUCUAACCUCCUUUGGCUAUUUAUUUUAUUUCAUUUAUUUGGGGACCCGAAAAUGGGUUACAACAAUGAGCACAUGAUUUCUUCGUAUCAGCAUCUGAUUUAUAAAAUAUUGAAACCAAUUUUUAAAGUUGAAAUUCUUUACCUUUGUCGCACCCCCACAAAAAAACAAAUUUCAAUUUGCGAUUUUACGGGUUCGACUGGCGAAUUUUUAUUUUUUGGUUUGAUUUGGUUCUUUGGAGUCGCCACCUAGUAUUUUGAUCACUAGGAACCUUAACUGGUCUCAGAGAUCAGGUACGGAGACUGGUUGCGUAAAGGGAAGGUAUUAGCACCCCAAAUACGCCUUACCUGAGGUAAACUGCAUUGUUUUAUUGUCUGAUAAAAAAAAAACUAAAGUGUUAUUAUGUUUUUCUAGUUGUUGGUCUGUCUAUGGUUCAAGAAAAAUCCCCCUCGGUAAGGAGGUCUUUAUCUUAUCGGGUAAAAAUCCUAACCGUUCUAACGUCCAUACCAAAAUUUUAUUAAUAAUAUUUAGGAAUACGUUUUACGUAUAAAUUCGUAAUCCCAAAUAUUAAAAGAAAACAAAAAGAUUUUUUUUAGAAUUUUUGAAAUAUUGGCCUAGUUCUCAUGGCUUGAAUAAACUGGUUAUUAAAGCCAAAAUGCAUGUUAAUACAUAUAUUGUUUUUUGAAAAUUUUCUUUGUUGUGUGAAAAUAUGAUGUUAUAAUAUUUAUGUAUAUAUAUUGGAGAGACUAGGCCGUAUUUUAAAACAAAAACAAUUUUUGGAAAAUAUUAUUUUUUUUAUGCUUUGACGAAAAUCGGGUAUUUUAAUACUGAGCUUGUAUCCUUACGGUAUAAAAAUACAACCCAAUAUUAAUCCAUUUUGAUAAAAAUAUGCAGAAAAAUCAACAACAUUUUUAGGGACUUUGUAGAAUUUUUUGAAAGCAAAACAUUUUUUAUUCUGAAAAUCUUUGAUAUUUUGACGAAAACCGUGUAUUUUAAUACCAGAUUUGUAUCUUUACAAUAUAAAAAUACAAACUGAUAUUGACCAAAAUACAGUAAUAAAAUUACAGAAAAAUCACAAAUUCUUUGAAAUAUCUUUUUUUGAAAAUUUUUUAUUUUUUUUUAUAUAUAUAUAUAUAUUUUUUUGGGUGAGGCCCACGUGGCUGGGCUGCACCCAGCAAGCCUCAUGUGAACAGUGAAUCAUGUCUUAUGUGAACAGUGAAUAGCAUUUCACUGUUCAAUUGAAUUAUAUUUGAUGUGAACAGUGAAUUAACAUUUCACUUGAACAGUAAAAUGCAAGGAAAUGGUGCAUGCACAGCGACGAAAGGGGGUGCAAACCUGGUGGCAGAAACGAUGCCGAAGUCGAUGGCUAACACUCCCAGUGAUGCUGGUGGCGGUGGACAGGAAGCCAAUGGGGGUUCACGGUGGUUCUGACGGUGGCAGUGGUUGGGAAGCUCGAUGACAGCAGCUGCCUUCUCUUCUUCUUCCCCUUUACAGAGGCGUUUCUUCUUCUCUUGGUUUCUUUCAGUCAGCAAUGUUCUUCCCUCUCUAUGGCAGCUUUGUGAAGGCGCUGGUAGUGGUGGCCGGGGAGUGACUGGGACGGUGGUCGGUGACUGUGGAGUGUGGUGUUCAGCCUUUCUCCCUUUUCUUCUCUGCGUUCCUCUUCAGCUGUCUCCUCCUCUGUGUGCUGGGUUGGGCGCUAUUUAUAGAGCCAGUGGGCGUGGCUUCACCGUGGAGCCAAGGAGCGGGUCGGGGAGCGGCUCAUGUGAACAGUGAAUAGUAUUUCACUGUUCACGUGAAUUAUAUUUGAUAUGCACAGUGAUCUUAGCAUUUCACUGUUCACGUGAAUUAUAUUUGAUAUGCACAGUGGACUAGCAUUUCACUGUUCACGUGAAUUAUAUUUCACUUGAACAGUGAAAUGCAAGGAAAUGGUGUAUGCAGAACGACUUCCAAUUUUAAGAAUAAAAUUCAAUUGCGUCCCUGCCAAAUUCGAUCCCUACCCCUAUAGUUGGCCGCGUUUUUCAUUUUGGUCCUUGGCCUCUGAUUUUCACAAUUAAACCCCUAAUUGAUCAAUAAGCUUCCAAUUUCUUCAAUUAAACCCCUGAAUCAAUUCCAAACAGCCCCCUUUAUCUUUGCGCCUUCUCCAAAUUGGUCCCUGGUUUCGGAUUUUCACAAUUAAGUCCCUAAUUGGCCAUUAAACUUCAAUAUUUAUGCAAUUAAACCCCUGAUUUGACCCAAUAAAUUCCUAAAAAAUAUAUUUUGGCCCCAAAACUUAAAUUUCUUCUAAUUAAAGCACAAAUUGACUUAAAAAUCAAUUUUUCUUGCAAUCAAAUCUUCUAUAAAUUCAAAUAAAAAUUCAAUUAAGUCCAUAAACAUCCAAAUUUGGGCUUUUCUCCUCAAAAUUCAAAUUUUCCUUCUCAAUAGGGCUUUCAUCCUUCAAGAAUAUACUGUCAAAAAUUCAAUCCUUGUAUUUUUAAAUUCCUUGACCAAUUUAUCUAACUGUUUUCUGAGCGCUUCUGCCUCCUGUUAUUUUCUAACCUCUUUUGGCUAUUUAUUUUAUUUUUCAUGGGGACCCAAAAAUGGGUUACAACAACCUUGUUAUCACAUUGAUCAUCCCAUUAAUUUCCCCUUCAUGAUAUCCUUAAAUAAGAAAAAGCUUAGGGUAUGUGCAACUGUCCUGAAGCUCUUAGACAAUCCAGGAGAAAAAAUUUAUUUGGCACAUCAUAUAUUUCCUUGGACGGUCGUUCAUAAAUCGUAUAUGCUAAAUGUUUUACAUACUCUAAUUAUAACAAAUGAUUAUGUAUGACAGUUCACAUUCUCCUGCAUGAAAGCUCUAUGUACCCAUUAUCUUGGUGACAAUUGACAAGUCGCCGAUGCAAUUCUGCAAUUAUAUUAGAAUGCAAGGAUGAUAUAUUUAUUUAGGAUUUUAUAAAUUAUCCCAUGGCUGUGUAUAUUCAAUAAUUUUGUUUAAUGAUUACAGCCCCACAUCAGUUUCUUGUUCGAGGCUUUUCGGGCCUUCAAUUGAACCUAAACAAAAACAAACUAUUCCAACAUGAACACGAAACAAAGCCGAAGAAGCUAUGGGCUUAAUUAAGCCUUUUUAUACGAGCAAGACGAAUCAGCACGAGAUUUCAAAUUCCUGCAAGAAUUACUAGAACCCACAAACGUGGCAACUCAAGGGCCUCAUCAUCCAAAACCAAAAUGCAAGUACUCCCCUAAAAGAUAAGAUUGUAGGGUUGUACAGGUCUCCUUCUGCAAUUACUUGUCAAGUCCUCCAACUAUUGCCUAAUUCUUAAUCAAGUCCCUCAAUCCAAAUUGGAUAUCCAUCACACAUUAUCCAAUUCACCCGUCACCAUAAAAAAAAUUAAAAAUUGAAAUAACUAAUUUGUUUAAGAUGGAUGGUUCUAUGGUUCUGAUUUACAAAUCUUGAGAUCAAACUUAGAAUCCCAUGAAAGUCUUUGGUUUAGAAUAAAUAAAUCAUCUCUUUUUAGAUUAAAAGUUACUUCUAACACGAUAAUAAAAAAUAGUUAAGUCUAGUUUUAUGAUUUUAAAGAAAAACAUUUAAAAUCAAAAGUCAGUUUAAAAAAGAUCACGAGUAAUUCAUUCUAAAUAUUUACAGUAAACGGAGCCAGAAUUUCAAGAGCCUUUGAUUAUUAAAAUUAACACCUCACUUAAAAUCCAAACAAAUUUAGAAACGCGAGAAAGUCGUUCAGAUAAGGCUGAAAAAAGAAAAAAGAAACCAACGAUUUUUCAAUCUUCCCGCUUAUUGCUUAAUCAAGCAGAGAUGGUGGUUGCUUAGAUUUUCUCCUUCAAUUAUAGUUUAUCGUUCAGUUUCAACCAUAAACAGGCAAGACUCCCACGAAUCCAGGCUGUUUUCGGACACCAAUUAAGAAAUCUGAGAUAUCUCUUCACAUUGCCCUCAAUUAUUUGGUUGUGUCAUCUAGCAGGGCUCUUCUGAGAACGAUAGAGAUUUCUUUGGAUCUGAUGAUUUUGGUCUGAAGCCAAUCAGAACGGAAUCCACAUCAACAACGAAUACUUUCCAGAAAAAGAGUAUAUUUUUUGAAGAAUCUGUUGCAGGUUCCCCAAUGUCAAGAUUUGGCAACUCUCCAAGGUUCAGCGAAGCAGGGGACCAUUUUGACAAUUACUCGAGAUUUGAUUCCUUCAGCAUGAAUGAAGGAGGCUUUUCACCACGAGAAAAGCUUACAAGGUUCGACUCCAUAAACAGCUCCAAAGAUUUUGGCCACAGCCGUGCAUUCUCUUCAUUUGGGUUUUGCAUGUCGGAUUUGGCCCCGAUUUGAUGAUUUUUUGGGUGAAUCUAUUUUAUCUAUAACGUAGUAAGUAAAUAGCUAUUCCCGGAAUAAUAAAGGAAUGUUGAAGUUGAUUCGGCUUUUCCCGGGGAAAAGAUAAAAAGAUCAUUCCUUCUGUAUUUUGGAAUGCUAGAUAUAGGUACGGUGCUCGUAUUGUUUGUUUUCUUCACUAGAGUUUACUGCCCAACAUAAUUCCUGCUUCUUUAUUUUAUUUUCCCCGAAGAAGUUUAUAUAUGGGCAUGGUGCUCAUCAAAUGCAAUAGAUUUUGGAAAUGUAAACAAAAGUAUUUUCUGACAUUACGAGAGGGCUACGGUGCUUGUGCUGGAGUUUACUGCCCCACCUAUCAAAUUGCAGUGGUCAUAUGCAAAGAAAAGUCACUAAAAAGAGCAUCAUCAAUAUUCCAAGAAAGAUGGUCCUUCCAUAAUCAUCGAGUUAAUGGACCACAUACCGACACUGACAUUAAUUGUGUUUUCUUGUAGAAACAGAAAUGGGCCUUCUUCUUAUUACCAUAGGCAUGCUAAUGUGGCUGAUAUUUUUCCAGGACAUUAAACCAUGUCUGGUUGCUCUCCCAAUACUGACAAUCUUGACUCAAACUACUUCAAGGAAAGUUUGCCCAUUGCAUGCUCUUGGAAGCAGCCGGAUUAUCUACUCUAUUUAUGAAACAAAGGGAAUACAAGACGUGGAAUGAGUCCAUGAAAAAGCCAUGGACGUAAAGGUUUCAAAUUGCACAUCAUAGUAGGAACCGAACCAUGGACAUUAUUUGAACUGAGAUCUAAUGUUUUCAAAUUUUCCAUGUUCCUAUUUCAUAAAGGAUGGAUCCGUUGAUUUUAUUGAAAGAAAGGUCAAUAUAUCUCAAACUGGUUAAACUGUCUACUCUGGAAUGAAUGGAACCACUGAUAAUGUUUGAAUCGGGAUCUAUGGCUUCCAAAUUUGCCAAGUUUCAUAUUUUCAAAUGGAUGUAUCCGUUGAUUUGAUUGGAAUAAGGCUUUAGAUAUCUCAAAAUGGUUAUACUAAGGUUGUUAAUUUUAUUUUGUUCUAUCCGGAAUGACCGGUAUUCUUGUUCCAGUUAAAAAAACAAAAUAAACCGAAAUAAAUUUCAUGUCAAUCAGAAUCUUGGCCUGUUCUUGAAAUAAAUCGGCCUGUUUUAUUUGGUGUUAUCCUGGUCUCAGUAUCUGGAUCAUAAAUUAGAAAUAUUAACCUGAGUCGAUCUAAUAUGUUCUCGUCUUAAUAUUUUUUAAGAAAAAAUAUACAGUCUUGAAUUUUUUUUAGUCAAACGAUAUUUUUAUCAAUCGUCCAUAUUGUCUUCAAACCUAUUUAGUUGAUCGGGUCAUAUUCAUUCAACUCUUAUUUUUUUUACUUGUGUUUAAAAUUUAAAAAACAUAAUUUCAAGUUAGUUUUUUAAAUUGUCUAAUGAAAAAGGAAUCGAACAAGUGAUGUAGAGAAAGUCCAUACAAAUUCUUCGAAUUCCCAAUUUCUGAAGGGAUCGAACCUGUAAUCUUGAAAGACUGAUGUAGUUGUGGUGUAGAGAGAGUCCAAAACCGGUGUUUAUUGUCUAGCUUACACUGGUAAGCAAUUCAUAGCACCAAAAAUUAAGAACUGAAGAAAUGCAAUGCCAAUUGUCAUGGUGAAGCAGCGUCAAAUAAAAUGGAACUUGAACAGUGUGAGUUCAUGGGUGAAAAUGAGAGCAUGAAAUUUCACCACCAUUGUUUUCUCGUACUUCUCAGUUUGUUUUUAUUGGUCUCAACAAUCUGUCACUCAAAAGAACAGGCAUUCUAUUUUUGAUCACGAACAGUAGCAUUUGAAAACUAAGAAGGCCAGGCAGUCAAUCCAUCCUUUCAUGAAAAAUAAUCGCUCGCGUCUUGGAGACCAUGUUUGCGUCUAAUGCUUGCCUGCGAAAUUUAUGAAUGAAUUAAGUGCAUGGUUUUUUCAUGGACUCAUUCCACGUCUUGUAGGCCCUUUGUUUCAUAAAUAGAGUAGGCUAGUUACAUGUCCCGCGCGAUGCCGCGGGUCAAUUAUUUUUUAUAUUUUUUAAAAAACUAAAAUUUGAAAGUGUUAGGUCUUUUUACAAAAUUAUACCCAAAAGUCUUAGGUUUGGUUGCAACGCCUAAACCAAGAGUAAUAUCUAUAAUAUUAAUAAUAACAUUAAACUUGCAUGACCCAAAUUUAAGUAGGUUUGGCUACAAUACCAGACCUAAUAGCAUUGGACGUGGGUCUAGUUGCAAGGGUGUGUCAUAAAAAUGUGAUAAUUAAAUAGAUUAAUUAAAAAGAAAAAGACAGAAAAAAAAACCAACAGAAAGAAAAAAACUAAUGAAGAAAAAGAAAAAAAAUAUAUGCAUUAACUAGGUUAACCCUUCAAACCAGGUUAACCCGUCAAACCUUAGAUUCACGUCGUAAAAGUUUGAUAACUAAAUAGGAAAAAACAAAUUAAUGGGUUAACCCAGAAUUAACCGGGCUAACUCGUCAAAUCAGGUUAACCCGUCAAACCCGGAAUCCGUGUCAUGAAAGUUUAAUAACUAAAUAGAAAAAAAAAUUUAACAUUAACAAUUUAAAUUAAACAAAAAAAUUAAUUAAAAAGAAAAAAAAACAAAAAAAAACUAAAGGCAUCAGCCUUUUAACCGUGGACUGCACUGUGCAAUCCAUAGUCAAAUGCAUAAAAAAAAAAAAAAAAAAAAAAAAAACUAAAGACAUCAGCCGAGAACUAUAUAGAAAAAAAUUUAAUAUUAAUAAACUAAAUUAAUUAAAAAGAAGAAAACCUCUAAGAAGUAAAAAAAAUACUAAAUAGAAAAAAAUUUAACAUUAACAAAUUAAACUAAACGAAAAAAAAAUUAAAAAGAUAAAAAAAGCAAAAAAAACAAUUUAAGGUUAACUCGGCAAACCAGGUUAACCAGUUAAAUCUGGGAUUCGUGUCAUGAAUAUUUGAUAACUAAAUAAAAAAAAAGUGAACGUUAACAAACUGAACUAAACAAAAAAAAUUAAUUAAAAUGAAAAAAAAAUUUGGGUUAACUCGUCAAACCAUGUUAACCCGUUAAACUCAGGAUCUGUGUCAUGAAAGUCUGAUAACUAAAUAAAAAAAUUAACAUUAACAAACUAAAUUAAACAAAAAAAAUAUAUGAAAAAAAAAAAACAAAAUUGACGGGUCAACCUAGAAUUAACUGAGUUCACCCGUGAAACCAGGUUAACCCGUGAAACUCGAGAUAUAUGUUAUGAAAGUCAGAUAACUAAAUAUAAAGAAAUUUAAUAUUAACAAACUAAACUAAACAAAAAAAAAGCAAAAAAAUAAUUUCUAAGUUAACUUGUCAAACCAGGUUAAUGUGUUAAACUCAGAAAACAUUUCAUGAAAGUUUGAUAACUAAAUAAAAAAAAUUUAACAUUAAUAAACUAAAUUAAACAAAAAAAAAGAAUUUGUUAAAAGAAAAAAAAAAGAAAGAAAAAAAAAAAUAAUCCCGAAAUGCAUUAAAAAAAACAACUAAAAAAAUAAGACAACUUAAAAAAAAAACUAGUAUAUGUUACAAUAAUCCGGUUGCUUCCAAGAGCAUGCAAUGGGCAAACUUUCCUUGAAGUAGUUUGAGUCAACAUCGUCACUAUUCGCCCCCGCGCGCGCGCGCACCCAACUGAACUUGCACGUCAAUGUAGACUAAUAAUCAGCUUGUCCUAGCCUACAAGUCGAGUCCAACCUAACCAAUCUACUGUUAUUGUAAAAAAAUAAAAUUCAUAAGAAUUUAUAAUACAAAUAAUAAUAUGUUUUCAAUAUUAAUAAUAAUAUUUUCUUUCAAAUUUAUUAAUUUUUUUUAUUAAUAAUAUUAAUUAUAAUAAAAAUAAUAAUAUUUAUAAUACAAAUAAUUAUAUUUAGAAUCCUAGGACUGAGCGCCAAGUAGCUAUAGCCUGAAGGGGUGGCCAGUGGAUGUUGCAUGCCCAGCGCCCAAGGUAGCCAAGCGCUAGGUGUCCGCAACCUCAGUAGGCACGCCUCUAGCCUGAUGCUUGCAGCUUGAUAGUCGCAGCCUCACACAUGUUCCUGUUAAACAGUGCUGUACAUAAUAAAAAUUUAUAGUACUCCGUGCUACAGUAUGUAACAUUAUAAUCUAUAAUGAAUUCACUUACUUUGCACAAUAGCCUGCACUAUGGUAAAAUACUGAUAAGUAUUAGUAAGAGGAUAGCUUUUCCUGGAAUAAUAAUUGAAUGCUGAAGUUGAUUCGGCUUUUUCCGGGGAAAAGAAAAAAGAUAAUUCCUUCUGUAUUUUGGAAUGCUAGAUAUAGGUAUGGUGCUCGUAUUGUUUUCUUCACUUGAGUUUACUGCCCCACAUAAUUCCUGCUUCUUCAUUUUAUUUUCCCCGAAGAAGUUUAUAUAUGGGCAUGGUGCUCAUCAAAUGCAAUAAUAGAUUUUGGAAAUUUAAACUAAAGUAUUUUCUGACAUUACGAGAGGGCUACGGUGCUUGUGCUGGAGUUUACUGCCCCACCUAUCAAAUUGCAAAGAAAAGUCACUAAAAAAGAGCAUCAUCAAUAUUACAAGAAAGAUGGUCCUUCCAUAAUCAUCGAGUUAAUGGACCACAUACCGACACUGACAUUAAUUGUGUUUUCUUAUGGAAUCACACUAUUGCCGCUCCCAACACGGCAAAGUGACUAAGGUGGUGAUUUUUGUUGUGGUAGCUGGAGGUGGAGGAGGAGUGAGGGAGGUUGGUGUGAUGGAUAUGGAGUUACCAGUACACUACUAGUUGUGCUCUCAUCUAAGCAGCUUCGAUCCAUUUCUUUUUUUUCUUUUCAAAUAAAAAUGCAAUUGAUACUGUAAAAUUAGAGAGGUUUUUUUUUUUUUAAAGCAAAAAAAAUACUAUUUAGCCGGAACGGAACCGGAAUGCUCUAGCCAAAAUUUAAUCGAAAUAUUUUGUCUGAGAUUUUCAAAAUAGAUCGAGAUUCGGAUUAGAUGAAAUUUAUUUUGGUUUAUUUUGUUUUUUAAAGUGGAACAAAAAUACCAUUCAUUCCGAAGAGAACAUAAUAGAAUUAACAAUCUUAAUAUAAUUAUUUUGAGAUAUCUAAAACAUUAUUUCAAUCAAAUCAACGAAUCCAUCCCUUUAAAAAUAUAAAACUUGGCAAAUUUAGAAGCCAUAGAUCUCUAUUCAAAUAAUAUCAGUGGUUCCAUUCAUUCCAGAGUAGGCAAUUUAUCCAAUUUGAGAUAUAUUAACCUUUUUUCCGAUCAAAUCAACAGAUCCAUCUUUUAUGAAAGAGUGAACAUGGAAAAUUUGAAAACAUUAGAUCUCAGUUCAAAUAAUCCGGUUGCUUCCAAGAGCAUGCAAUGGGCAAACUUUCCUUGAAGUUGUUUGAGUCAAGAUCGUCACUAUUCGCCCCCGCGCGCACGCGCACCCGACUGACCUUGCACGUCAAUGUAGACUAAUAAUCAGCUUGUCCUAGCUUACAAGUUGAGUCCAACCUAACCAAUCUACUGUUAUUGUAAAAAAAAAAAAAAAAAAAAAGCAAUCCAAUUCCCAAUUCAAUAUAUACAGAAUCUAUAAAAAUUAAAAAUAUUACAUUGCAGCUACGAUUAUCUCUGGAAAAAAGUUUAAGAAAAAAAAGUAUACUUGCAUUAUUUACAAAUUAAAAUUUAAAAGCUGUUUGAAAACAUAGUUGAAAUUAUGUUUUUUUAAAAAUAAUUUUUUAUUUAAUUAUUUUUCUAAUAAAAAAUUUGAAUGUGGUGAAAAUAUAAAAAUUAACUUUUUUAUAUUAUUAAAUUGUUUUGAUGUGAUGAUGUGAAAAAUAAUUUUUUAAUAAUAAAAUUUUAUUAUUUUAAUAUAUUUUCAAACAAAAAAUAUUUUAAAAAAUAAUUAUUAACAUAAUCACAAAUAUGAAAUUUUCUUGCUUACUUUCGAAUCCAAAAUCUUGACCUUCAAUGAAAAUCAUGUCUCAAAAUUUUUUAUCAUGGUUCCUUGCUGAAAAUGCACAGGAUAUCAACAAACCUUCAAUGCACAUAAAUGUAGGAGAGAUAAUGUUUUCACUAUUUCAACUUAAAUCUACAAGACAUGGGCAGUACGAUGAUCAGAAUACGACUAUGUAUUAGCAUUAUUUUUCUACUCGGUCUCUUUCCACGAAAAUCAGGGAGAAUAGAAUAGAAUUAACUGCUGGCCUUCUUAAUUCCCAAAAUCCACUAUUGGUGAUUUGUAAGCCUUUUUCUUAAUCACAACGCGUGAAAGACCAGACGAUCUUGACUUGGAACGAGUCCAUGGGAAUUGAUGCCAUGCACUUUAUUAAUAAAUUUAGCAUUAUCAUUGAAGUGAAGCAUUAGACACAAACAUGGCGUCCAUUGUUUAUGAGCCAAAACUUCUUGCAAUUUUAAGCAUCUCAUUUUUCUUGUCCUGUAUUUUUGUAUCUGUGGCUGCACGUGAUGACUCGGCCUUGCUAGCAUCAGAAGGCAAGGCUUUGCUUGAGAGUGGAUGGUGGAGUGACUACAGCAACCUCACCUCACAUCGUUGCAACUGGACUGGCAUACUCUGUGAUCGGGCUGGAAGCAUCACUGAGAUUUCCCCACCUUAUCUAGUGGGAAAUAAGUUUGGAAAGAUGAACUUUUCUUGCUUCUCAAACCUUGCCCGUCUCGACCUGGCCAAC
rnacentral:lncRNA from 1 species